rnacentral:rRNA from 1 species
AGGUGCGAUCAUACCAGCACUGAUGCACCAGAUCCCAUCAGAACUCCGUAGUGAAGCGUACUUGGGCGAGACUAGUACUAGGAUGGGUGACCUCCUGGGAAGUCCUCGUGUUGCACCUCUUU